CAGCCGCCGCGGGAAUACGAAGGGUGCAAGCGUUAAUCGGAAUUACUGGGCGUAAAGCGUGCGCAGGCGGUGAGUUAAGUCUGCUGUGAAAUCCCCGGGCUCAACCUGGGAAUGGCAGUGGAUACUGGCUCGCUAGAGUGUGUCAGAGGAUGGUGGAAUUCCCGGUGUAGCGGUGAAAUGCGUAGAGAUCGGGAGGAAUAUCAGUGGCGAAGGCGGCCAUCUGGGACAACACUGACGCUGAGGCACGAAAGCGUGGGGAGCAAACAGGAUUAGAUACCCGCGUAGUCCCUGUCUCUUAUAC
rnacentral:rRNA from 1 species